UUAUGUUGUUUGCCAUUACUGUAAUUAGGUUUGACAGAACAUUUCCAAUGAGGGAGAGUUUCUUGUAUUAUGUUGUUUGCCAUUACUGUAAUUAGGUUUGGCAGAACAUUUCCAAUGAGGGAGAGUUUCUUGUAUUAUGUUGUUUGCCAUUACUGUAAUUAGGUUUGGCAGAACAUUUCCAAUGAGGGAGAGUUUCUUGUAUUAUGUUGUUUGCCAUUACUGUAAUUAGGUUUGGCAGAACAUUUCCAAUGAGGGAGAGUUUCUUGUAUUAUGUUGUUUGCCAUUACUGUAAUUAGGUUUGGCAGAACAUUUCCAAUGAGGGAGAGUUUCUUGUAUUAUGUUGUUUGCCAUUACUGUAAUUAGGUUUGGCAGAACAUUUCCAAUGAGGGAGAGUUUCUUGUAUUAUGUUGUUUGCCAUUACUGUAAUUAGGUUUGGCAGAACAUUUCCAAUGAGGGAGAGUUUCUUGUAUUAUGUUGUUUGCCAUUACUGUAAUUAGGUUUGGCAGAACAUUUCCAAUGAGGGAGAGUUUCUUGUAUUAUGUUGUUUGCCAUUACUGUAAUUAGGUUUGGCAGAACAUUUCCAAUGAGGGAGAGUUUCUUGUAUUAUGUUGUUUGCCAUUACUGUAAUUAGGUUUGACAGAACAUUUCCAAUGAGGGAAAGUUUCUUGUAUUAUGUUGUUUGCCAUUACUGUAAUUAGGUUUGGCAGAACAUUUCCAAUGAGGGAGAGUUUCUUGUAUUA